UGCCCAGCAACUCCUAUCCCUACCUCCUCGCGGUACCGGCCGGAAACUAUGAGCAACCUUCGGGAAGAUCGGGUAACCAACCCCGGUGGGAACUUUGGUCAUAGGCUGACAGGGUAGG
rfam:Aedes albopictus isolate Foshan contig43556, whole genome shotgun sequence.